GGGUUGUGAGGUUAAGCGACUAAGCGUACACGGUGGAUGCCCUGGCAGUCAGAGGCGAUGAAGGGCGUGCUAAUCUGCGAUAAGCGCCGGUAAGGUGAUAUGAACCGUUAUAACCGGCGAUACCCGAAUGGGGAAACCCAGUGUGAUUCGUCACACUAUCAUUAACUGAAUCCAUAGGUUAAUGAGGCGAACCGGGGGAACUGAAACAUCUAAGUACCCCGAGGAAAAGAAAUCAACCGAGAUUCCCCCAGUAGCGGCGAGCGAACGGGGAGGAGCCCAGAGCCUGAAUCAGCAUGUGUGUUAGUGGAAGCGUCUGGAAAGGCGCGCGAUACAGGGUGACAGCCCCGUACACAAAAGCGCAUGUGCUGUGAGCUCGAUGAGUAGGGCGGGACACGUGGUAUCCUGUCUGAAUAUGGGGGGACCAUCCUCCAAGGCUAAAUACUCCUGACUGACCGAUAGUGAACCAGUACCGUGAGGGAAAGGCGAAAAGAACCCCGGCGAGGGGAGUGAAAAAGAACCUGAAACCGUGUACGUACAAGCAGUGGGAGCACCCUUUGGGUGUGACUGCGUACCUUUUGUAUAAUGGGUCAGCGACUUAUAUUCUGUAGCAAGGUUAACCGAAUAGGGGAGCCGGAGGGAAACCGAGUCUUAAUUGGGCGUUAAGUUGCAGGGUAUAGACCCGAAACCCGGUGAUCUAGCCAUGGGCAGGUUGAAGGUUGGGUAACACUAACUGGAGGACCGAACCGACUAAUGUUGAAAAAUUAGCGGAUGACCUGUGGCUGGGGGUGAAAGGCCAAUCAAACCGGGAGAUAGCUGGUUCUCCCCGAAAGCUAUUUAGGUAGCGCCUCGUGAAUUCAUCUCCGGGGGUAGAGCACUGUUUCGGCUAGGGGGCCAUCCCGGCUUACCAACCCGAUGCAAACUGCGAAUACCGGAGAAUGUUAUCACGGGAGACACACGGCGGGUGCUAACGUCCGUCGUGAAGAGGGAAACAACCCAGACCGCCAGCUAAGGUCCCAAAGUCAUGGUUAAGUGGGAAACGAUGUGGGAAGGCCCAGACAGCCAGGAUGUUGGCUUAGAAGCAGCCAUCAUUUAAAGAAAGCGUAAUAGCUCACUGGUCGAGUCGGCCUGCGCGGAAGAUGUAACGGGGCUAAACCAUGCACCGAAGCUGCGGCAGCGACACUGUGUGUUGUUGGGUAGGGGAGCGUUCUGUAAGCCUGCGAAGGUGGCCUGUGAGGGUUGCUGGAGGUAUCAGAAGUGCGAAUGCUGACAUAAGUAACGAUAAAGCGGGUGAAAAGCCCGCUCGCCGGAAGACCAAGGGUUCCUGUCCAACGUUAAUCGGGGCAGGGUGAGUCGACCCCUAAGGCGAGGCCGAAAGGCGUAGUCGAUGGGAAACGGGUUAAUAUUCCCGUACUUGGUGUUACUGCGAAGGGGGGACGGAGAAGGCUAUGUUGGCCGGGCGACGGUUGUCCCGGUUUAAGCGUGUAGGUGUGUGUUCCAGGUAAAUCCGGUUCACUUUAACACUGAGGCGUGACGACGAGGCACUACGGUGCUGAAGCAACAAAUGCCCUGCUUCCAGGAAAAGCCUCUAAGCAUCAGGUAACAUCAAAUCGUACCCCAAACCGACACAGGUGGUCAGGUAGAGAAUACCAAGGCGCUUGAGAGAACUCGGGUGAAGGAACUAGGCAAAAUGGUGCCGUAACUUCGGGAGAAGGCACGCUGACACGUAGGUGAAGUGAUUUACUCAUGGAGCUGAAGUCAGUCGAAGAUACCAGCUGGCUGCAACUGUUUAUUAAAAACACAGCACUGUGCAAACACGAAAGUGGACGUAUACGGUGUGACGCCUGCCCGGUGCCGGAAGGUUAAUUGAUGGGGUCAGCGCAAGCGAAGCUCCUGAUCGAAGCCCCGGUAAACGGCGGCCGUAACUAUAACGGUCCUAAGGUAGCGAAAUUCCUUGUCGGGUAAGUUCCGACCUGCACGAAUGGCGUAAUGAUGGCCAGGCUGUCUCCACCCGAGACUCAGUGAAAUUGAACUCGCUGUGAAGAUGCAGUGUACCCGCGGCAAGACGGAAAGACCCCGUGAACCUUUACUAUAGCUUGACACUGAACAUUGAGCCUUGAUGUGUAGGAUAGGUGGGAGGCUUUGAAGUGUGGACGCCAGUCUGCAUGGAGCCGACCUUGAAAUACCACCCUUUAAUGUUUGAUGUUCUAACGUGGACCCGUUACCCGGGUUGCGGACAGUGUCUGGUGGGUAGUUUGACUGGGGCGGUCUCCUCCUAAAGAGUAACGGAGGAGCACGAAGGUUGGCUAAUCCUGGUCGGACAUCAGGAGGUUAGUGCAAUGGCAUAAGCCAGCUUGACUGCGAGCGUGACGGCGCGAGCAGGUGCGAAAGCAGGUCAUAGUGAUCCGGUGGUUCUGAAUGGAAGGGCCAUCGCUCAACGGAUAAAAGGUACUCCGGGGAUAACAGGCUGAUACCGCCCAAGAGUUCAUAUCGACGGCGGUGUUUGGCACCUCGAUGUCGGCUCAUCACAUCCUGGGGCUGAAGUAGGUCCCAAGGGUAUGGCUGUUCGCCAUUUAAAGUGGUACGCGAGCUGGGUUUAGAACGUCGUGAGACAGUUCGGUCCCUAUCUGCCGUGGGCGCUGGAGAACUGAGGGGGGCUGCUCCUAGUACGAGAGGACCGGAGUGGACGCAUCACUGGUGUUCGGGUUGUCAUGCCAAUGGCACUGCCCGGUAGCUAAAUGCGGAAGAGAUAAGUGCUGAAAGCAUCUAAGCACGAAACUUGCCCCGAGAUGAGUUCUCCCUGAGACUU
rnacentral:rRNA from 1 species